AACGAACGCUGGCGGCAGGCUUAACACAUGCAAGUCGAGCGUCUCGCAAGAGGCGCGGCAGACGGGUGAGUAACGCGUGGGAACAUACCUUUCGGUUCGGAAUAACCCAGGGAAACUUGGGACAAUACCGGAUACGUGCGAGAGCAGAAAGAUUUAUCGCCGAAAGAUUGGCCCGCGUCCGAUUAGCUAGUUGGUGAGGUAACGGCUCACCAAGGCGACGAUCGGUAGCUGGUCUGAGAGGAUGAUCAGCCACACUGGGACUGAGACACGGCCCAGACUCCUACGGGAGGCAGCAGUGGGGAAUAUUGGACAAUGGGCGCAAGCCUGAUCCAGCCAUGCCGCGUGAGUGAUGAAGGCCCUAGGGUUGUAAAGCUCUUUCGCCAGGGACGAUAAUGACGGUACCUGGAUAAGAAGCCCCGGCUAACUUCGUG
rnacentral:rRNA from 1 species